rnacentral:lncRNA from 1 species
CUCAGAUAUUGAUUAUAUUACAUAUUCAGCAGAGUAACAAUCCAAAUAAAAUCAGAUGUUAUUUGUCACGUGUAAACUUUACAGUGAAAUGCUUGCUUACGUCCCAUUCACAACGAUGCAAAGUAAAAAAUACAAAUAGUAACACAAGGUGAAUAAAAUACACUAAGAUGGAGCUACAAUACAGGGAGUGCCAGUACCAGAUCUCUGUCCAGAGGUACAAGCUAUUUGAGGUAGAUAUGUACAUGAAGGCAGGGUAAAGUGACUAGACAUCAGGAUAGAUAAUAAUAAGGUAUUUGAGGUAGAUAUGUAGAUGAAGGCAGGGUAAAGUGACUAGACAUCAGGAUAGAUAGUAAUAAGGUAUUUGAGGUAGAUAUGUACAUGAAGGCAGGGUAAAGUGACUAGACAUCAGGAUAGAUAGUAAUAAGGUAUUUGAGGUAGAUAUGUAGAUGAAGGCAGGGUAAAGUGACUAGACAUCAGGAUAGAUAGUAAUAAGGUAUUUGAGGUAGAUAUGUACAUGAAGGCAGGGUAAAGUGACUAGACAUCAGGAUAGAUAAUAAUAAGGUAUUUGAGGUAGAUAUGUACAUGAAGGCAGGGUAAAGUGACUAGGCAUCAGGAUAGAUAAUAAUAAGGUAUUUGAGGUAGAUAUGUACAUGAAGGCAGGGUAGAGUGACUAGACAUCAGGAUAGAUAAUAAUAAGGUAUUUGAGGUAGAUAUGUACAUGAAGGCAGGGUAAAGUGACUAGGCAUCAGGAUAGAUAGUAAUAAGAGUUAAAUAAAGUGUGUGUGUGUGUGUGUGUGUGUUGGUAUGCAUGCGUGUGU